AACGAACGCUGGCGGCAGGCUUAACACAUGCAAGUCGAACGGGUGUAGCAAUACAUCAGUGGCAGACGGGUGAGUAACACGUGGGAACCUUCCUAGAGGUACGGAACAACGCAGGGAAACUUGCGCUAAUACCGUAUACGCUCUUGCGAGGAAAGAUUUAUCGCCUUUAGACGGGCCCGCGUCGGAUUAGCUAGUUGGUAAGGUAACGGCUUACCAAGGCGACGAUCCGUAGCUGAUCUGAGAGGAUGAUCAGCCACACUGGGACUGAGACACGGCCCAGACUCCUACGGGAGGCAGCAGUGGGGAAUCUUGGACAAUGGGCGCAAGCCUGAUCCAGCCAUGCCGCGUGAGUGAAGAAGGCCUUCGGGUUGUAAGGACUCUUUUGUCAGGGACGAUAAUGACGGUACCUGAAGAAUAAGACCCCGGCAAACUUCGUGCCAGCAGCCGCGGUAAAAGUGUAGUGUA
rnacentral:rRNA from 1 species